rnacentral:rRNA from 1 species
GUAGGUGGCAAGCGUUGUCCGGAAUUAUUGGGCGUAAAGCGCGCGCAGGCGGGUCCUUUAAGUCUGAUGUGAAAGCCCACGGGCUCAACCGUGGAGGGUCAUUGGAAACUGGGGGACCUGAGUACAGAAGAGGAAAGCGGAAUUCCAAGUGUAGCGGUGAAAUGCGUAGAGAUUUGGAGGAACACCAGUGGCGAAGGCGGCUUUCUGGUCUGUAACUGACGCUGAGGCGCGAAAGCGUGGGGAGCAAACAGGAUUAGAUACCCUGGUAGUCCACGCCGUAAACGAUGAGUGCUAAGUGUUAGGGGGUUUCCGCCCCUUAGUGCUGCAGCUAACGCAUUAAGCACUCCGCCUGGGGAGUACGGCCGCAAAGGCUG